rnacentral:rRNA from 1 species
UGAGGAAUAUUGGUCAAUGGACGCAAGUCUGAACCAGCCACGUCGCGUGAAGGAAGACGGCCCUACGGGUUGUAAACUUCUUUUGUAAGGGAAUAAAGUGAGUCACGUGUGACUUUUUGCAUGUACCUUACGAAUAAGGAUCGGCUAACUCCGUGCCAGCAGCCGCGGUAAUACGGAGGAUCCGAGCGUUAUCCGGAUUUAUUGGGUUUAAAGGGUGCGCAGGCGGGAGAUUAAGUCGGCGGUGAAAUUUUGCAGCUCAACUGUAAAAGUGCCAUCGAUACUGGUUUUCUUGAGUGUGGAUGAAGUAGGCGGAAUUUGUGGUGUAGCGGUGAAAUGCAUAGAUAUCACAAGGAACACCGAUUGCGCAGGCAGCUUACUAAACCAUAACUGACGCUCAGGCACGAAGGCGUGGGGAGCAAACAGGAUUAGAUACCCUGGUAGUCCACGCAGUAAACGAUGAUUACUAGCUGUUUGCGAUACAAUGUAAGCGGCUGAGCGAAAGCGUUAAGUA